rnacentral:rRNA from 1 species
GAUGAACGCUGGCGGCGUGCCUAAUACAUGCAAGUCGAGCGAACGGACGAGAAGCUUGCUUUUCUGAUGUUAGCGGCGGACGGGUGAGUAACACGUGGAUAACCUACCUAUAAGACUGGGAUAACUUCGGGAAACCGGAGCUAAUACCGGAUAAUAUUUUGAACCGCAUGGUUCAAAAGUGAAAGACGGUCUUGCUGUCACUUAUAGAUGGAUCCGCGCUGCAUUAGCUAGUUGGUAAGGUAACGGCUUACCAAGGCAACGAUGCAUAGCCGACCUGAGAGGGGGAUCGGCCACACUGGAACUGAGACACGGUCCAGCCUCCUACGGGAGGCAGCAGUAGGGAAUCUUCCGCAAUGGGCGAAAGCCUGACGGAGCAACGCCGCGUGAGUGAUGAAGGUCUUCGGAUCGUAAAACUCUGUUAUUAGGGAAGAACAUAUGUGUAAGUAACUGUGCACAUCUUGACGGUACCUAAGCAGAAAGCCACGGCUAACUACGU